rnacentral:tRNA from 2 species
GGAGAGGUGCAGGAGCGGCUUAACUGGCACGCCUGGAAAGCGUGUGCGGGGGAAACUUCGCCCCGGGUUCGAAUCCCGGCCUCUCCGCCA